GGGUCGCUAGCUCAGCCGGUAGAGCACCGCACUUUUAAUGCGAUGGUCAUGCGUUCGAAUCGCAUGCGACCCA
rfam:Crenothrix polyspora isolate RSM_CP1 genome assembly, contig: CRENPOLYSF1_Contig_45